AGUGAACGCUGGCGGCAGGCCUAACACAUGCAAGUCGAGCGGCAGCGCGUCCGACCACCCUCGGGUGGUCGGAUGGCGGCGAGCGGCGGACGGGUGAGGAAUGCAUCGGAAUCUGCCUCGUUGUGGGGGAUAACGUAGGGAAACUUACGCUAAUACCGCAUACGACCUACGGGUGAAAGUGGGGGGACCUUCGGGCCUCACGCGAUGAGAUGAGCCGAUGCCGGAUUAGCUAGUUGCGGGGUAAAGGCCCACCAAGGCGACGAUCCGUAGCUGGUCUGAGAGGAUGAUCAGCCACACUGGAACUGAGACACGGGUCCAGACUCCUACGGGAGGCAGCAGUGGGGAAUAUUGGACAAUGGGCGCAAGCCUGAUCCAGCCAUGCCGCGUGUGUG
rnacentral:rRNA from 1 species